rnacentral:rRNA from 1 species
AAGGUUAACCGAAUAGGGGAGCCGAAGGGAAACCGAGUCUUAACUGGGCGUUAAGUUGCAGGGUAUAGACCCGAAACCCGGUGAUCUAGCCAUGGGCAGGUUGAAGGUUGGGUAACACUAACUGGAGGACCGAACCGACUAAUGUUGAAAAAUUAGCGGAUGACUUGUGGCUGGGGGUGAAAGGCCAAUCAAACCGGGAGAUAGCUGGUUCUCCCCGAAAGCUAUUUAGGUAGCGCCUCGUGAAUUCAUCUCCGGGGGUAGAGCACUGUUUCGGCAAGGGGGUCAUCCCGACUUACCAACCCGAUGCAAACUGCGAAUACCGGAGAAUGUUAUCACGGGAGACACACGGCGGGUGCUAACGUCCGUCGUGAAGAGGGAAACAACCCAGACCGCCAGCUAAGGUCCCAAAGUCAUGGUUAAGUGGGAAACGAUGUGGGAAGGCCCAGACAGCCAGGAUGUUGGCUUAGAAGCAGCCAUCAUUUAAAGAAAGCGUA